rnacentral:lncRNA from 1 species
AGGUGUGACCAGGUGGCCGCCAGGGCGCUGGGCGGGCGAGACCCAAAGACACUUCCCGGAAUUGCAGAUGCGCCCUCUACUAUCGGCCUCUGCAGGCCUCUCCUCCCGGCUUGCUGGUGUCCUCAAGAAGGAGAGGACAGGCUCCCCACCUCUCUCCUUUCUCCAGCCCUUGUAGAACUCAGGGAAGCUGCUCAAACUGACCGAUUUCCACGUGACCUCUUUUCUUCCCACCUCCAUCCGCCCUGAGCCGUUGCUAAGGUGCUGGAUAGGUGGGUGAGGGGCGGGUGCUGCUGCUGUGCGGGGGCCCCCUCUGCCCCGGCCCCUCCAGACCAUCUUCAGGUGAGGCAGCGUGCAAGGACUGUGCCAAGCCGUCUUGCAGCCUGGAAGCCAAGGU